ensembl:lincRNA
GUGACUAAGAAGUGGGCCCAGGACACCUUCAGACUCAAUCCCAAUAAUGAGGACAUCCACACAGCCAGCGAGCGCCGCCUGAAGGUACGACCCUUGCAGACCCACCGCUUUCCUGGCCUCCCAUCUCCACCUGGCCCUGGGCCACUUUAAGCAUUAGCACCAUCGUUCUGUUUACUUCGACACUGGCAGACAGCAGUGGAGACCUCAGGACAUGGGCCAGUUGUGGUGGCUCAUGCCCAUAAUCCUAGCACUUUGGGAGGCUGAGGUGGGAGGAUCACUUGAGGCCAAUAGUUUGAGACCAGCCUGGGCAACAUAACAAGGUUCCAUAACUACAAAAAAUUGAAAGAAAAGAAGAAAAAAAGAGCAACAGGGCUAAGCAGAAUUGGUGAGAGAUUUGGGCAAGACCUGGGGCCCUGGGGUAGAGAGGGAGGUUGGCAGGGCUGAUGAAUGCUGCCCUGCCUGGAUUGACUCUCCUGGGCAGAAUAGGAUGUGACCCUGGGCCUCCCUUUCACCUCCAAGAGCUCAUUGGCGAAAAUUGCUGGAAGUCACAUGGGAUGCAACUGGAAUGACCAGGUGCCUCUAGCCCCUCUCCCCCCCUGCUCCGUGCUGUCCCAACCUUGGGGAGCCCAUGGGGCAGUUAGAGCUCAGCAGGGUCCUGGCUCCCCAGGGAAUCAGCUCGUCGACCUCCCUGAGCACCACCUCCUCCUGGCACAGGUGGUCACGGACCUCAGGCUGUGGAUGCGGCAGACCUGCUCCAUGCUCUCCGGCCACCUCUGGGAGCUCAUCAGGACCAUGGUGGAUCCGACAGAGGGAACAUGGCAUCCUCUUCCCAGGGUACACCCACCUGUAGAGGGCCCAGCCCCUUCACUGGAGCCGCUGGAUUCUGAGGUGAGCUGGGUGAGGUACAAAGGCCCUGCUGGAGGGCAGGACCCUGGCUGCCCUGACCCUCCUGCCCCUGGCUUCCCACAACCAUGCCAUGGUGCUGACCCUAGACUCUGA